rnacentral:rRNA from 1 species
UACGUAGGUGGCAAGCGUUGUCCGGAUUUACUGGGCGUAAAGAGCGCGCAGGCGGUCGUUCAAGUCGCGUGUGAAAGCCCCCGGCUCAACUGGGGAGGGUCACGCGAUACUGAUCGACUCGAAGGCAGGAGAGGGUAGUGGAAUUCCCGGUGUAGUGGUGAAAUGCGUAGAUAUCGGGAGGAACACCAGUGGCGAAGGCGACUACCUGGCCUGUUCUUGACGCUGAGGCGCGAAAGCUAGGGUAGCAAACAGG